GACGAACGCUGGCGGCGUGCCUAAUACAUGCAAGUAGAACGCUGAAGGAGGAGCUUGCUCUUCUGGAUGAGUUGCGAACGGGUGAGUAACGCGUAGGUAACCUGCCUGGUAGCGGGGGAUAACUAUUGGAAACGAUAGCUAAUACCGCAUAACAGUAGAUGUCGCAUGACAUUUGCUUAAAAGGUGCAAUUGCAUCACUACCAGAUGGACCUGCGUUGUAUUAGCUAGUUGGUGAGGUAACGGCUCACCAAGGCGACGAUACAUAGCCGACCUGAGAGGGUGAUCGGCCACACUGGGACUGAGACACGGCCCAGACUCCUACGGGAGGCAGCAGUAGGGAAUCUUCGGCAAUGGACGGAAGUCUGACCGAGCAACGCCGCGUGAGUGAAGAAGGUUUUCGGAUCGUAAAGCUCUGUUGUAAGAGAAGAACGAGUGUGAGAGUGGAAAGUUCACACUGUGACGGUAUCUUACCAG
rnacentral:rRNA from 1 species